UACGAAAGGUGCGAGCGUUAAUCGGAAUUACUGGGCGUAAAGCGUGCGUAGGCGGCUAUUUAAGUCGGAUGUGAAAGCCCCGGGCUCAACCUGGGAGGUGCAUCCGAUACUGGGUAGCUAGAGUGUAGUAGAGGGAGGUGGAAUUUCCGGUGUAGCGGUGAAAUGCGUAGAGAUUGGGAGGAACACCAGUGGCGAAGGCGACUUUCUGGACUGUAACUGACGCUGAGGCACGAGAGCGUGGGGAGCAAACAGG
rnacentral:rRNA from 1 species